rnacentral:rRNA from 1 species
GGGAAGUAAAAGUCGUAACAAGGUCUCCGUUGGUGAACCAGCGGAGGGAUCAUUAC